rnacentral:lncRNA from 1 species
GUUUAAGGCACCAAUGAUGAACCUAAAUAUAGUGGCAACCUAUCUUUACACUUACGAAAAUGAAACCAUAGGUUCUAAGGCCAUGUUUAGUGUUCCCAUUAAGUUUUCCAAUGUCUUAUGAAAAUGAAUAACUUUGAGUGGAUUCCGUUUUGCUGAUAUUUGGUUGAGGUGGGCUCUGACAAAUCUGUGUGCCCAAUGGUUUAGUACACCAUCUCUUCGGGAGCAAUUAAAGGUUCUGUUUUGGUUCAAUAUCCCAAUUAAAGAAGGGUGGGUAAUUCCAAUUGUUAAUAGUAACAGUUGUUGGGAAUUUGAGUCAAUACUAACAAUCCUCUGCUUAAUAAGUGCUUCUCUCAAUUAGUUUAAUGUCUCAGAUAAAGGUUAUGUUUCGGUUCAAUAGCUCAAUUAAAGAAGGGGGGUCUUCCAAUUGUUAAUAGUAAGAGAUGUUGGAAAUUUGAGUCAAUAUUGUCAAUCCUUCCUCUGCAGUAAUAAGUGCUUCUCUUAUUUAGUUUAUUGUCUUAGAUAUCUUCACUUUAUAACUUUAGGAAUUGUCUUACAAAUAUAAGAUCACAAUUAUAAAAAUAUUCUCCACACUCAAAGUUCCUAGCUCUCUGUGAUGAUACCAUUCGCAAGCUCCAACUCUAAACUCAAUCCCAUUAGAGCUAAUUAAUUAAUUAGCCAUAACAGUAUGGGCAAUAUGAAUUUUCUUUCUGGAAUUUGCUAUGCUACACUUAUGUCUAUUCAAAUUGGCAUUAUUUAGAUUAUGAAUAUGAAAUGUUUGGCAAAUGGUCUAUCAAAGGCUGGUGAUACUUUUGUUGAUGGAGUAGUCAUAACUACAACACGAACAUUGCCAAGUUAAUCAGAAAGGGUUAUGAAUUAAACCCUAAUUGAAUUGAGGAUAUAAACAAGGUUAGUGAAUUUAAAAGGUUUUUAGCAUAGGGUUUUCAAAGUGGGAGAUCGCAUUGAUGUAAAGCUUAUAGAGGUAUGUCAUGUUAUGGUUGAUUUUUAUGUAUAUAGUCCAUAUCUACAUAAUUGAGUUGAUUGAUGUUGUUAGUUGUUGAAAUGGAAAAAGAAAAUGGUAACCGUCUUUAUAUAUAAAGAGGUCCACAAAUCAAUUUGGUUUUGGUGCUGUUCUUAUUGAGUAAGCAAAUAUGAGGCCUACCUACGCCUAAAUAGGCACAGCCAUAUUGAAUGAAUUGAAUUUAAAACUAAAUUUAUUAUUUUCUUGAUCUUAUUAAAAUAAUUAUGAUAAAAGUCUUUUAUAUUAAGAAUGGUAUAAAAAUUAUUAUAAUUUUAUUUUUCAUUUGAAAAUUUUGUAUGACUAUGGUUUAAAACUAAUAAUAUCAUUCAAUUGCAGUGUCUUUGGAUAAAAAUAAUUACUGUUUACACAAAAAAAUGAAUCAUUUUGAGUUUAUAUCUAUUAAAAUAUUAAUUAAUUUUACCACAAACUCUUAAUCUAUUUCUAUUAAUUUUCUAUUCUAAUUUCGUAAUUUAAGACAUUCUUACUCGUGUGGAAAAGAGAAUAGCUAGAGAAAAGAAAAGGCAGGAAGAGGUAUUUUAAUAUGGAAAAACAUACAUUGUAUAGAUAUUUUAAUGGAGGUUGACUAGGCAAAAGGCUCAACCUUGUGUAAUGGGGAAAAUGAAAAAGAAUUUUUAGAAACCAAAUCGGGGCAAAAUGAAAACGAAUACUAAAUAAAAGCUUCGAUUGAGAUGAUGGAGCUUCGAUUGAGAGAUGAAGAUUAGAAUAUAUGGAGACGAAGAGCAAACGACUACGGUGUGUAUAAAAACCAUGAAACCCUAUAAGUCUGUGAAAAACUACGGAAAGUAUGUAAGAAUAUGAGAGUGUGAAAAUAUAUUAUGGGAUAUAAGACACUUUGGCGCAAUUUAAAAAAAAAAUCGUUUAGACUUCUUAGGGGUUCAAAUAACUCCUCGUUAGUGCUUCUCUUUCAAGAGGUUAUUAUAACCCCUCUUAAAAAAAAACCCUUGUUAUAAUUUAUUUAUUUUUUGUAGUGACCAUGUUCUUAAAAUUUUAUGUUGUUUUAAAACACUUUUGUCUGUGUCUGGACACGUGUUGUCACAUGUCAAAUUUAAUUAUUAACUAGAGUUUGAUGAAAAAAGGAAAAUUUAUAUUUUAUAUAUAUAUAAACUAUAGAUAUAUAUAAAAACUAUACAAUACAUGUGGAACUUGCACCAGGUGCUUCUACUUGGUCCCAAAUUCAUGUCACACUUUGGGGGGGAACUUCAGCUUGUCAGCCACGUCUGGGAUGGCGAUCAAUUCCUUGUGAUUCAUUUUAAACUUGUGUCAACAGGACAAGUCUCCUUUCGCUUGCGCCCUAUCUGAUGCUUUUCGGCUUGUAGGGUGCAUGUCUGACUAUGAACUGCUCCCUGAACAAUGCAGAAAACUGAUCGAAUGAGGUUGUGUCCAUCAAGGAGACCAAUGAAUCAUUCUAGUGUCGUGCCUUCGAACGUCCCCAUGAACAACUUGCAGUGCAUUGUGUCUGUCCCUUCGAAGAUCAUCAUUUGAGUAUGGAAAGCCGUGAUGUGGGUUUCCAGGUUUUCGGUAUAUGUGAAAGUGAUUAUGGGUGUAAUGAAAUUGGUUGGUAUCACGACAUCCAUGAUCGUCUGGGAGAACUGCAUGGGGCGAGCCCUAACUGGAAUAGGCAGGCUUUGCUCCCCUAUUGUGCGUUCCCCCAAACGCUUUAGAUCUCUCCGCAACUCCUCAUUGGCCUUGCGUAACUCUUCGUUGUCUGUCCGCGACACAUCCAACUCGACCUUGAAUUGGUCUUAGCAGAAUAGAUUUGUCUGCAUUAACCAUAUUAUUAGCAAGAAAAAAAUAUUGUAGACAUUAUUAGUAUCUAUGGGACAACUUUUUAAGAGUUCAAAGCAUAUUCAUCGCACACAAAGCAUACUUAUUUGUGAGGGUUAUGAAUUUGAUGAAAGGAAAUUAUUCAAAUCUUGAUUCACUUUCCACAUUUAUUCUUCUUUGGUGCAGAGGAUUUGGCAGAAAAUGAAGGUAGGAAUAUGUGUAUUCAUACAAAUGGAAAUUAGAUUUUGAGAACCAAAGUUGUAGGGUGGCCAGGAGGUCGGAGGAGAAGAUAUGUGGCAUGCAAGAGACAAACUUAAUCCAGGCAAUUGCUUCCUGCACCCACACUUUUGAACCUGCACCCAACACAAUUUCAAAAAUUCCAAAAAUACCUUUUAUUCUGGAAAUAAAAAUUUGGAAUAAAAAGUAAUGUAUUUUGGUAGAUCCGGAAGAGAUUAUUGUGUUCUGGAUAUAAAAAUCUGGAAAAAAAAUCAAAAUCUCAUUCCAAAUAAAAAAAAUUAGAACUGAAAAUAAUACAUUUUGAAAAAUUUUAUCCAGAAGAGAUUAUUGUGUUCGGAAAAAAGGGUCCAGAAUGUAAUUUUAUAUGUACCCAUUUUUUUAAGGGUAUUUUUGUUUUUUCCCUUCUAAUUGGGUGCAGUGAUAUGGUGCAGGAAUCAAUUAUCCUUUGUCAUGUCAGCAAUUUGCACAAUAAUGAGACCCUUAUACUAGACUUAUCCACGUUGGGGUGGAGAAAGUAAUUGUGAGGCGGGUCCUGUUGGUGUGGAUGCGAGAAGCCUGAUGGUAGGGAAUGAAGGAAUCGCCGUGGGAAUUAUUGACUUUAGCAUGUGAAAUUAGCAAUACUAAUAUUUAAUUAGUUAAAUGGAAUUAUAGUUAUUAUAUAGGUUGAUAUGAGAUUUUGUGGUUGUUACAGUAAAAAUGUAAAAAAAAAAUACAAUAAAUGUGGUAUGAAAAUCAUAUUUGAUCCAAUAUUUUUUCAAAUUCUUAUAUUUUCUUACCUUUUUCUUUCACUUUUAUAUUUUUUUAAUUUUAAUAAUAUUCUUUUGCGAUGUUACAUUUUUCUUUAUUUUCAAAUGGUGAUGGUUAUUUGUGGUGGUUGAUAGUGAACCUUACUAAUUAAAUUAAGUUUUGAGUAUUUUUUUUACUGGUGAUGGUUGUGUUUUUGUUUGUUUAUUUUUUUUAAGUCAUAAAACUCAAAAAGAAACCAACUAGGUGUAAAAACGGGAUAAAGAAUCUUCUCAUCAACUCUCUCACCAAUU